GCCCUGCCGCGCCCAGGCCUCGGGCAGAGGCUCAGGAAUCCUGGAAUCCUCGGGCAGAGGCUCAGGAAUCCUGGAUGCCCGGCUGGGCUUUUGUGUCAGACUGCUUGUCUUGACUGACACCAGGAAUGGGUGUCCCACACCACUGUUUCCCACCUCUGCACAUCUCCCGCGGCCCUGUGGCUGCCAGCACUGUAGAGGUUUGCUGAGGGCUCUUUGAGAGGCCCAGCCUUCUGUCCUCAGGUGAAAUUCCAGCCAAGAAAAAGCCCCAGACAAUAAUUUACCACUUGGGGAGCUUUGUGUGCCCCUUGUUUGCCUCACACUCUCCUCACUGCUCUCACAUGGGCACAGUCUGCAAGCUGCUCCCAAAGCUUACCUUAUGUCACCAGGCUCCGAAGUCCUACAGUGUCACCCAGCUUCUCUCCUUACUCCUCACAGGUGAGGGGAGUCGUUAUGGUGCAUUUCAAUGUCCACCCCUCCGGAAACACUAGUGAGUGUUUGCUUAAUCUCUCUGUUCAUCUUUAACAUCCCAGUUUGAGACCCUAGUCUGACUGCUGUGAGGGAGGAAGGAGAGGGGAAAAAGGAAAGCAAAGUGUUGUCAAAUGCUGGGAGAAGAAAGGAUUGCAAGAGCAAGCUGGAGUUGGCCACACGGCCAGAGCCACUCCCAGAGCCACAGGGCAGGAGUUCAACAGGCAGAGUGCUGAGCAGAGCCCAUGGAGCACAGCUGACUGGGGGGGCAAACCUCCCCCACCUUCCAUGGAAGCAGGAGACACCAAAGGACUUCAUGAGAGACAGCUCAGAGGCGUCUCCAUGGUGGAGACCACACCAAGUGCCAGACUGGCUCAUCCAGGUGUGCCACUGGCCCUUCAGAGCAGAGAAAAUUGAGGCUUAUUUCACAAAUACCUCUCUCCUCUUUCCCUGACUGGAAGUGGCCACCAAAUAUGACUCUGCAGACAAAUGAUUUCUGCCUCUCUCAAAGCUUCAGUGUUGGGCUAGUUUACUACUAGAGAACUUUAGCUGUCAAUCUCUCAACUCUAGCAAGCUGGUCCUAAAAAUUUCACUGCAAUCAAGCCGAAGACAAAAAAAAAUUUGUGUGUGUAGGUCAGAAAGCAAGACCUUCAAUUAUAAGUCUGAGACAACUGCUUAUGGUCACUUCCUCUUGAGGCGGUUUUCAUUUGAUGAAACAGCUCUCUGUCUAGACUGGCGUCUUUUAUUUUGUUCUCAGGGUGAUUGCCUGAUGCAGGGUCAGGCUUUUUUUGAGUUACAAUUAAGCUAUCUCACUGAAAACCCAAAGCAAACCCCAAACCCCCAAACCCUGGCUGUGCACUACGCAUUACCCUCAGUGCACCCAUCUGUAAGGAGUGUCCAGACAUCUGAGCUGGACUCACGGGUGGCUGGACAUGCUGCCAGUCCUAUCAGUCCCUUCUGUUACUGGCCUGCCCUGGCUGUGAUGAUAGAAGAUAUUUUGAGGAACUUGAUCAAAUGUUUCCUCUCUGGUAUGGAAAGUAUUAACUUUCAACUCUUUUCUUGCCUGCUAGAAUGAUGGGGGUUUUUAAAGAAAUAUUUUCUUCUGAAGGACCAUUUGUAUCAGCUAUAAGGUUCUUGAUACAUUCCCUCUCCUGUUUUCCAAAAUCAAUUAGGACAUUAGGAGUAAUGGUUGCACUGAUUUAUAACUGUAAGUUUUUGAGGAUGCAAAGCAGCACAGGCCUGUGGAAUCAGGGAAUUUUAAGCUAUUGGCUUCAUCAUAAGAAAGUAAAUACAGGUGUCAGUACCUUUUCUGCGUUAUUGGGACAUUUGUAUUCACACAAAAGAAAGAUUAAGGAAAUACACCUUAUCAGCAGCUUAUUGCACUGGAUAUAAAUUACAUUCAAUUAAAAAGCUUAUGUUGUUUUUUUAAAAUAUGAAAGAAAGAGAAAAUGCAUUUUUUUUUCAGAAUCCAUAAAGAAGGCAUGGGAUACUUAAGAAAACAAUUUGCUGAAGACUCAUUAGGUCAAAGCAGGUCUUGGAAUUUUGCCUCUGGCUCUCUAAUGAUCCAUGAAAGUUGAAUUCAAUAAAAAAUGAUUUAACUGUAAAGUAGUUGAACUGAGCCGACUUUUGCUUGCAAGGAUAUUUUUUUAAAGCCCUCUGAUGUGUAAAUAAUAAUUGUUUCUCUUGGAGUUAGAGGCUUUCCAUAGAAAUAUUACAAAGAUGCUUUGAGAUAUUUUGCAGCCAUAUUGACCUUUGUGCCUUUUUUCCACGGACAGUAUCACGUACACCCAAAACCCAAUAGCAGGAACUUACGGGAUAUGCACAAUGAGGCUGCUGGUCUUGAGAGACUUUUGAAAGCUCAUACAUUAGACUCUCACUUUCCAAUCCAUUAAUUCUGCUGUUCUCUGCCUGUUGGGAGUUUUGUUGUGUCUUGUAAGAAUAACAGAUCACUGUUGAAGCUUUUAAGAUCUGUUACCAGGAGAAGCUGCUGUGCAGACAGUGUGUCUCCACUAGCCAGGCACUUUUGGCUGCCAAAUUUUCUUUUCUUUCUAGAGGUUUUUUAUUUUUUUUUUAUUUUUUUUCCCUAACAAAACAUUAUUUUCAAGAAUGAGCACUGGAGAGGUCUGAGAGGUCUUCUUUUCUCUUGGAUUUGAACCACACAGAGUGAUAUUUUAUACAUGGACCUGCCAGAGGAUGGCACAAUAUGUUGGAGCACUGCGCCUGCCAGAGGAGAACUUGGGCUUAUUAAACUUGCAUGAUGGGGGUUGCCCUGCAGACCCCUCUAGGCAGAUAUCUGGCAGCAGCUGACUUAGCAUAACUUUGCACAAACUCCUUUACCCUCAGGAAAGUUCCUCCUGGAAGAGGACAUGUGUGAAAUUUCCUGGGGCAGAUUUACCUUAGGGCAAAGCAUUAUGUCUUGUGGCUGCUUUGCCUUUCCUCCUGGCUGCAGUUGCACCUACAUUCAAUAUGUAAAAAUGCUGCUGCUAUGAGUUCCUAAAUCUGUAGAUACUUUGCCUAGAAAACUGCAGGAUGCUGAGAGACUCUGCAGUGCUGUGGUGACCAUAGUAUGGAAACCAGGCCAAAUUUGCUGCAGAUCUGAAUCUCUGAAUCUGGACCUGCUUUGGCUUGUGGGGAAGCAUUCUCCCUCACAGAGGGGAAUUGGUUUCAUAGGCUUGCACUGCCAGCCUGACUACAUAUUUGAGGAGAACUUCAAAAGAACAUGCUGGCAUCACCUAGUCAGAAUUUGGGUACAGGACAACCUGCCUGUGAAAUUGAGCACCAAUGGCAAAGUGUAGGACUGAUCUGAAGCAAAGGACUGCACCUAAAUUGAGGGCUGCACCUGAACCAAGAGCGAAAUCAACCGUUCUUCCACGAGACACAGGAGCUUAUUGCAUGAGAUCUUGGGCACAUAUGAAUCAUCAAGUCAAAAAUAUCUGUAUAAAGAAGUAGCAGGUUCUUGUGCUCUCCUGCCCACUUCAUCUGGGCUGGAAUCCAGCUGACAAGGGCUCAGAGAGGUGGAAGGUGGAAUCCAGGAGACGGGCAGUGGGCAAAAGAGGGUACAGCUGUCCUUCCAACACAAGUGAGAAUGGAGGGAGAAAAUUAUUACAUAAGCUGGUCAGGUUGUCUGGAAAAAACAGGAAGAAGAACAAGAACUGAGUUAAUUUUUGAGCCUCUUUUUCCACCAGUGAACUUGUUAAUCUCUCCAAAAAUAACCUUCAAUUUCUCUGUUCUAUUUGAAUCUAUGUUCAUUUUGUCAUCUUCUGAAUCCAAGUGAGCUGGAUUAAUUGCACUUGGACAGGUUUUCUUGAGUGUUUUUUUUUUUAAUAUGAGGGGCAAAAAAAAGAGUUGCAGGAUUUUAACCAAGUUCAGAAAAGAGAAAUAGGAAAGUUUGGGUUUUGUUGUUCUUUGUUACUCGCCUGGGGAAAGACUUGUCUGGUCUGCAGCCUUCCUGAGGCUGACAGAGCAGCCGAGGUUCACUGGGCAUGCAGAGCCUGGCAGCUCCCCGGGCCGUGAGGGAUUUAUCUCUGCAAAAUCAAUCGUAAACAGGAUAAACUAUCCCCAGCACCAGGCCUGCAGGAGGUGGAAAAUAGGAGGUUCUUAUACCACCAGUGUGGAGAAAUACAAACCUCUGAGGAGGCGAAAGAAAUGGAAACAAUCUGACCAACUAGUUUGUGCAGGUGGUAUUGCGGGAAAAAAAUUAUAAACCAUAAAAUUGGCUUUGGCCCUUGAGAGAAAAUGCUUAACAAUAAAGCACAUGAUCUUUCCCAUAAGUAUAAUACUGCCAAAUCUUGCAACCUAGAUUCCUAGGUUCCUAUAUACUGGUCAUCAGAAAAAUCCUAAUCAGCCAUUACUGAGUU